rnacentral:rRNA from 1 species
CAAUAGCGUAUAUUAAAGUUGUUGCGGUUAAAAAGCUCGUAGUUGGAGUUCUGCCAGGUGCCGCCUGUCCGCCCCAGUGGUGAGUACGUGGCGCGCAUUUGGCCCUUUCAAGGGGAGCGUAUCUGCACUUUAUUGUGUGGUGCGGGAUCCUUGACUUUUACUUUGAGGAAAUAGGAGUGUUCCAAGCAGGCUCUCGUCGUGCACAGCUCAGCAUGGAAUAAUAGCGUUGGACCUCGAUUCUAAGCUGUUGGUUGCCAGAAGCGAGGUAAUGAUGAAGAGGGAUAGUUGGGGGCAUUCGUAUUUAACUGUCAGAGGUGGAAUUCUUGGAUUUGUUAAAGACGGACUACUGCGAAAGCAUCUGCCAUGGAUGUUUUCAUUGA